CCUACGGGAGGCAGCAGUGAGGAAUAUUGGUCAAUGGCCGGGAGGCUGAACCAGCCAAGUCGCGUGAGGGAAGACGGCCCUACGGGUUGUAAACCUCUUUUGUCAGGGAGCAAGGUGCAGGUCGGGACCUGCUGUGAGAGUACCUGAAGAAAAAGCAUCGGCUAACUCCGUGCCAGCAGCCGCGGUAAUACGGAGGAUGCGAGCGUUAUCCGGAUUUAUUGGGUUUAAAGGGUGCGCAGGCGGAGGCACAAGUCAGCGGUAAAAUCGCGGGGCGCAACCCCGCCCCGCCGUUGAAACUGUGUGCCUUGAGUGCGCGAAGGGUAGGCGGAAUGCGUGGUGUAGCGGUGAAAUGCAUAGAGAUCACGCAGAACUCCGAUGGCGAAGGCAGCCUACCGGCGCGCAACUGACGCUCAUGCACGAAAGCGUGGGUAUCGAACAGGAUUAGAUACCCUGGUAGUC
rnacentral:rRNA from 1 species